UUAAGAGCCUUAAGCCAGGUUGUAAUUGAAAUGGUAGUUUUGAGAAUGGACUGGUGGAUGUUCGUAACGUGGGCCAGUGGGCUGUUGGAAGGAAACAAGUUUAGAGCAAUGGCUUUCAAGUCGUGAUGAUCCCAGGGAUGGCCCAGUUUCGGGGAACCCACUGAACUCUAUCUUUGCCCCAUUAGGGUCCACUGUUGACCGGACCUCUGAGUUCUCCCAGAAUAGGCACCCUGAGACUUAGAGAGCAUUGGGCUCCAAAAUCUCCGUCUUUAGAGCUCAUGCUGGGAGGCAACUUCAGUGCCCUCAGCUCAGGGAACUGGAAGGAGAGGCUGGCUCCCUGGCUACACUUUGGGCUGAGUGUAUCUGAGUAUAACAAGAAAAGCACCAGUUUGGAUCAUGGGGUUUCUAGGCAGCUGUAUUCAAGGUGAAAUCAUGUAUCCCAGCUGUUUAUUUUAUCAGCGGCAAGGGAGUAAAACCUGAUUUUCUUCAGCAGGAAGCAGCUUAUGCAAGCUCACUGCUCUGUGGGAUGAGAUUUUCCCAAGAAAGGACAAAGAGGUUUGAGGUAGCUUAGAGGGAGACCCUUUGCCCAAGGUAGUUGCACGCUGGCUGGAAGUUCACCUCAGGUGUGGAUUUUGGCAGGCACUGUGCCAUUUUGUUAAGCUCCGUAUAGCUGGUGAGCUUUAUUGAGAGGCACACAAUAAAUGUUUGAUAGGUGGAUGAAUGACUCUAUUGAGACCGGCCCGAAUGGAGGCAGCCUCAACUAAAAUAGUCCUUCCCAACUGAAAACCAGCAUGUGAAACCAAGUUCCUGUGCAGAUUACUGGGCUCGGCUAUCUGGGAAACAAAGAGGGGAGCAGAGCUUCCUGGCUUUUGUCACCGGCCCCUCCACACUGCCAGCCAGAGAUUAGAAGAUGUCGAGAUGUCCUUCUCUGGCCUGUCCAUCUGCACCAGGAUAUUUCUUUCUUGGAACUUUUGCCUUCCCCCUGCUGGCUCUCUGUCUGCCUCCACCGGGAGCCGUCUGGCUGGCGACAAUACAUACCUCUGAGAAUCUGGGAGGAACAAGCGUGGGGUGGUUUCAUUCUUGUGCUUUGUGCAUAAUGUAAAUGUAAUUAAUCAUGUCUAUGGUGGUUUAUAAUUUAGUAUUUUUUUUUCAUUUUUAGCAGUCUAAUUAAAUUCGUUUGAGCUUUAUAAGUAGUUAUUUUAGAAUUUUUCUUUGUACCCCCACUGUUGGAGUGCUGAAGACUCACAAUAAAUAUGUCUC
rnacentral:lncRNA from 1 species